GGCCUACCAUGGUGGUGACGGGUGACGGAGAAUUAGGGUUCGAUUCCGGAGAGGGAGCCUGAGAAACGGCUACCACAUCCAAGGAAGGCAGCAGGCGCGCAAAUUACCCAAUCCUGACAUGGGGAGGUAGUGACAAUAAAUAACAAUACAGGGUUCUUUUGGAUCUUGUAAUUGGAAUGAGUACAAUUUAAAUCUCUUAACGAGGAACAAUUGGAGGGCAAGUCUGGUGCCAGCAGCCGCGGUAAUUCCAGCUCCAAUAGCGUAUAUUAAAGUUGUUGCAGUUAAAAAGCUCGUAGUUGAAUUUCGGGAUCAAGGAAUCGGUCAUGCCUCGGUAUGUACUGGUUUUAUUGGUUCUCACCUUCUAAAGAACCGUGAUGUCAUUCAUUUGAUGUUAUGGGGAAUUAGGACUGUUACCUUGAAAAAAUUAGAGUGUUUAAAGCAGGCUUACGCUUGAAUACAUUAGCAUGGAAUAAUGAAAUAGGACAUCAGAUUCUAUUUUGCUGGUUUCUAGGAUCGAUGUAAUGAUUAAUAGGGAUAGUUGGGGGCAUUAGUAUUCAAUUGUCAGAGGUGAAAUUCUUGGAUUUAUUGAAGACUAACUACUGCGAAAGCAUUUGCCAAGGAUGUUUUCAUUAAUCAAGAACGAAAGUUAGGGGAUCGAAGACGAUCAGAUACCGUCGUAGUCUUAACCAUAAACUAUGCCGACUAGGGAUCGGAUGAUGUUAAUUUUAUAAUGACUCAUUCGGCACCUUACGGGAAACCAAAGUGUUUGGGUUC
rnacentral:rRNA from 1 species